rnacentral:tRNA from 1 species
UGGCUGAGUGGUAAAGCGCUUGGAUUCUAAACCAGAGAACCCGGGUUCGAAACCUGG